UGUCUUGAUAGAGUUAUACACCCCAGCCUUUUAAUAGAAAACGUUUGUCACAUCUAGCCCUUCUAGGUGUAAAGAGGUUCCCGACGUAUGAUAAAGUAGAGUUAGAAAACCACACAUCUUGUAAAUUCUCAUUUGUUUAAAAGAAAUAAUAGAAAAUACAUGACUCCUGGACUCCAUGACUUUUGGAAAUGGAGCUGUUAGGUGGCCUCUGGAAGCGAUAGUCCACGUUUGUUCAGUGGGUUAGAUGACAUGGAGUUGGAAGACACGAGGAGGAGGAGAAGGUUCUCUGCUAGACUGGUCAUAUUUAGAAGACAUUUUCAUAUUCUAGCCAUUGUUUUGUGUGCAUUUUAUUCCUCACUACUAUAUAUGUAGUUGACAAUGCUAAACUUUUUCGAAACGUCUGUUCUUUUUAGAUGUUCUGAAGUGCCUAAUAGAUGUUAAAAUUAGAGGUAGUAAAAUCACAUUUUGUAAAUAUCUUUUUGUUACAACUUGUAGGAAAUGUUUUUUGGGGGGAAUGGCCAAAUCACCUGUUGAGUAAUACUCAGUGUGUGUGCAGCGGUUCAGGGGAGGAGGGAGGAUGGGGAGGUGCAGACAGUUCUAUGACACCCUGCUUACAGCAAGGCAAGAUGAAUUAUUAUCUCUGCAUUUUGUUUUACUUACCUGUGCAUAUAAUGUACGUAAAGGACAAACGAGUCCUAACUUUAACAACAUCUAGUCUUUAACGAGGUUGCCAGUGUAUGACAGAAGUAGAGUUAGUAACCUAAUGUUUUGUACAUUUUGUUUUACAAGUCUAGGAAAGAUUGUCUUCCGAAAAUUUGAGCGUUCUUGCGCACUGGGCUGAUGGAGAUAGGAAGGGUUCUAGGCCAGAAUGUUCACACUUGGAAGGCUCUUUCAAAUUAUAACUGUUGUUACAUGUUUGCAGUUUAUUCAAGACUGCUGUGUACAUAGUGGACAAACUAACUCCUAGGUGUUUAGAAGUGCCUGAUGUAUGUUAAAUGUAGAGGUAGUAAAAUACCACUUUGUAAAUAUCUUUUUGCUAAAAUUCAUAGGAAGUAGUUUUGGAAAUUGAAUUGUGAAGCCACCUUUGUGAGCCAUAUAGUACUGUCUAUACUUGUUCAGUGGUUCAGAGGAGGUGAGAGGGAAAAAAUUGCAAAAGGUAAUAUUCUAGUGUGUUCAUACUUGGACAUUUCAGACACUAUUUUUCUGUAGGUUUUGUGCAUUUUCUUUUGCUUUGUACAUAGUGUAUAUAAUGGACAAUGAGUCCUAAUUUUUCAACAUCUAGUCUCUAGCUGUUAAAGAGGCUGGCAGUGUAUGACCAUGUAGUAAAAUGAGCAUAUUUUGUCCCCUUUGUGAUGAAAUUCAUAGGAAAACUUGUCUUCUGUAAACGACUUUUGCAUUGGAAUUUGUUCAGUCGUCUCUGCGCAUUACACGUGCCUGUACUUGUCCACUGGAUUGAAGGCAGAGAAGAAAGAGAGGAGGGAAUUAUUCAAGGCCAAAAUGGUCACAGUUAGACGGCACCUCAGAUGAUAAUCACUGUUUAUGUGUGUGCAAUUUUAGUUAACAGGGUUGUGUACGUGGUGGACAAGUUAUAUGAAAUAUCUAGUCUUUCUAGAUAUUUGGAAAUGCUUGGUGUAUGUAAAAGUAGUAGUAGAAUAACACUUUUUGUAAAUAGCUUUUAAAAAGUGAUGGGAAAUGCUGUUGGGAAGUGGAAUUGUGCAACCACCUGGGAGGUGGGAGGGAAGAAAUUGCAAAAGGUGUUUUGCCAUUGUUUAUUAGAAAAUUUCAGCUUAAUCCAUUGCCUAUAUGUUACAUGCAUUUCCUUUAAGUUUGCUAUCUAUACUGUAUAUAUUAUGUAUAUACUGGACAAAUGGGUCCCAAUUUUAUAAUAUCUAGUCUCUAGAUAUUAAAGAGGUUGCCAAUGCAUGACAGAAGUAGAGUUAGUAAACUAACACAUCCUGUACACUUUGUUAAGAUUCAUAGAAAGGCUGUCUUCUGAGAAAGACUUUCGGAAGUGAAGUAACCUCAGCUGUAAGUGACACAUGUGCCACUUGCAGAGUUGGGUGAAGAGUUGGAAGGAAUGAAGAGUUCUAGACCAGAAUGAUCCUAUCUAGAAGACACUUUCAGAUAUAACCAUUGUUACAUGUGUGUAGUUUAUUUAACACUGCUGUGUAUAUAGUGGAGAAACUUAAGUCCUAAUUUGAAACAUCUAGUCUUUCUAGAUGUUUAGAAGUGCACAAAGUAUGUUAAAAGUAGAGGUAGUAAAUAACAAACACAUUUUGUGGCUAUCCUUUUGAUAUAUCAUCUUUUGGAAAUUGAUCUAUUCUCUGAGCAGUACAUUAUGAUAUCUGUGCAGGUUCAGGGAGGAGGAGGAGUGUAAAGGGCUUUCCACCAGUGUGUUUAUGAUGAGGCACAUUGAUCAUUGUCCCUUAUGUCUGCAUUUUCAUCAACUGUGCUGUGUAUAUAGUGUAUAUAAGCGGACAUAAGAGUCCUAAUUUAUAGCCAGUCGAUGUUAAAGAGGUUGCCAGUGUGUGACAGAAGCAGAGUUAGUAAAUUCAAUACAUUGAGUGUACCUUGUGUUAAAAAUCAUAGGGAAGACUUCUUAAAAACAGAAGUGACAUUGUUAAAAUCCCCCCUAAACUGUCCAUGGGGUUGACAGAGGUCAGAAAGGGAAGUAGGUUCUAGGCCAGAAUGUUCCUAUUUAGAAGACACUCAAAUUUCAGUCUGUGUUAUGUAUAACACCAUUUAUUCAAUGCUACUGUGUAUAUAAUGGAAAACUUGAGUCCAGUUGGAAAUAUCUAGUCUUUCUAGGUAUUUAAAAGUGCACAACAUAUGUUAAAAAU